rnacentral:tRNA from 1 species
UCCGUUGUGGUCUAGUGGUUAGGAUUUACGGCUCUCACCCGUAAGGACCGGUUUCGAUUCCCGGCAACGGAA